AUAUAUCGAGUACUCACCCAGCCCUCACUCGCGAUAACUGUGUCCAGUCGCAUACUUCAUCUUCAAAUCGCUUCACACAAUCUUCAUCUUGGUUUUUAAAUCACAAACUUCGCUGGGUAUCAAGUCACUUCUCUCUCAAAUCGCUGCUGGGUAUCGAUUCGUUGGCUUAUAUAUCAAAUCGCUGUUGCGUAUCGCUUCUCUCUCAAGUCGCUGAUCCGUUCUCUCAAAUCACAGGAAGAAGGGUUUACAUUCUUGUAAUCACAAGAAGAGGAGUUUACAUUCUUGUAAUCGCUGCUUCGCUGUUGGGUAGCGAGGGACUUCAAUUUUGUUGUUGGGUUUCUGCCAUAUUCAUUGGGUCAAAUUCACAAGAGGGAUCUCUGCUAAAUUGCUGGGUCAAUUAUUGAAGUUUGUAAUGGUUUAACAUGCUUGGACUUGCUUGUUAAUUAUAUUGAGUCGAUGCUCCUGAUCUAAGUCUUUGCCUUCUACUUAAUCACUUGAUAUUUUGUAGGUUGUACCAGUACAUUAUUGUGGCUAAUGCAAAUUGGUUGCGGCUAAAAAAAGUUGCUCAUAUUGUAACAAACAUUCUGAGAACUACAGAGUUCCAUCUGUUUGUAUCGUGAUUUUUGAGUAUGGUUGUGUUUUUGUUGUAAAAAUUCUUAUCGCAAUCUUAUGUAAAAUUAAUUUAAUUAUAUUAAUUUUUAUUUUAAUUAU